GUCCCGGUCCCGUUCUGAAACCGUCCCGAAAUUUGCCGGUACGGGUCGGGAUCAAAAUCUGAAAUUUACUAUUUGGGCCCGUCCCGUCCCGUCCCGCGGAAACGGGCCCGGUACCGGUACUAGCUUAGUAGAAACCGAUUGAUCCCGUCCCGUCCCGUUUGAAUUAAUUUAAUUAAAUCUUUAAUUUUUUAUAUUAUUUGGUUGGUUUUGAUUGGGUAAUUUAAUGUGGGAACACAAAGGAAUGACACACCUGAUCAAAACAUUUUGACCUAACUCACCUAAGUCCCUAAGCCGAUCCCCAAUUCACCUCCUUCAGCCCAGCGACGGAGGUACGACAGCCCCGAUUAUCCCCAACACCUCCGCCCCUACCACCGCCUCCGACCGCCGUACCUCCUUCAGUGGUAAUACAGAGCUGUGGAAUGUUGAGACCUGGCCUUUUGUUAACUGUGUGUUUAUCGAUGAAUUGAGUUGGCUCUGCUGAAUAUGUACCAUCUUUAGACUCAUUUCCAAUGCUUCACUUUACAGCACUCUUGUUAUGCAUACCGAUACUUCUGGCCUCUGGGCUUGCAGCCAUUUUAGUUCAUAUAGUAGCUGUUAUCAGUACCAAGACCAGGGCCACACCACAUAUUACCAACCAAAUCUGUCGAAAGUUUUUCAUGUUUGUUAGGUUACGAUGAUGAGCACAUCUCAUGUUUAUACAAUGCCUUGCAUCAAGGCUGAUGAUAAACCUAACUUCAUGAUGCUGUUGGAAUAUGAUCAUAUUGCUGUUGAUGCAAUUCUACCUUGCAAGUAACCCAGUGCCACCCGGUCACAACCAGCAUCUUAAACUAGUUUGUAUCUAUGGCUUGGGAUUGGGAGGAUAUAUGCAGUUUGUAGAAUUGAAAAGAUUGUUGGUUUGAAAUAUUAAAUUGCAUCUGAUAUGACAUUAUCCUGAUCAUGAGAGCACUGCCUCCAGCAGAAAUACACGUUCAACAAUCCCGAAAGCAAAGGGGAAGGGAAGGGCUGCAGUGGUAAAUGUUGACUAAUGAGUUUAUGAGGUUGUGAGACUGAGUGUGAUGAAGUGAUGAAGGUUUUUUGAAAUGUGUUUAAUACUUCAAGACUUGUAGUUAACUAGUUUUUAUCAUGUAAUGGACUUUAUAAGACCUACUGGACUUAUUGUUGAAUUCAUGAAUUGGUUUCUGUGUUUAUUCAUUUAUUGAACUUAUUGUUGGUCAA